UAAAAACCCCGACUUCGGAAGGGGUGUAUUUAUUAGAUACAAAACCAAUGCCCUUCGGGGCUCUUUGGUGAUUCAUGAUAACUAUACGAAUCGCACGGCCUUGCGCCGGCGAUGGUUCAUUCAAAUUUCUUCCCUAUCAACUUUCGAUGUUUGGGUAUUGGCCAAACAUGGUUGCAGCGGGUAACGGAGGGUUAGGGCUCGACCCCGGAGAAGGAGCCUGAGAAACGGCUACUACAUCCAAGGAAGGCAGCAGGCGCGCAAAUUACCCAAUCCCGACUCGGGGAGGUAGUGACAAUAAAUACUGAUACAGGGCCCUUUCGGGCCUUGUAAUUGGAAUGAGUACAAUUUAAAUCCCUUAACGAGGAACAAUUGGAGGGCAAGUCUGGUGCCAGCAGCCGCGGUAAUUCCAGCUCCAAUAGCGUAUAUUAAAGUUGUUGUGGUUAAAGAGCUCGUAGUUGAACCUUGGGCCUGGCUGGCCGGUCCGCCUCACCGCGUGCACUGGUCCGGCCGGGCCUUUUCCUCUGUGGAACACCCCACUCCUCACUGGGGGUGGUGGGGGAAAAACAGGACAAUUAC
rnacentral:rRNA from 1 species